CUGACUGCAACCUCCGUGCUCACAGCUCACAUUUCCCCGGAAUCCAGAGCCGCCUGGGCCAAGGCCUCCAUAAUGCUGGAUAUUUUCAUCCUGAUGUUCUUUGCCAUCAUAGGCCUGGUCAUUCUCUCCUACAUUAUCUACCUGCUCUAGCGGCCUGCGGCGGCGGCGGGAGCUCGCGGAGGACAGCUCAGGGGCAAGGAUGACGCUGACUGGCCCAGCACCCUGCUUGCUGACGCACCGGUGGAUUUUUGCUUCUGGUCAUUAUUCCGGUUCCUGGUCACCAGUCCAGCAAGAGGCCCCUUAUCAACACAGCUGUCCUGUCACCCAACAGACCUCUUCCAGAGCCUUCCGGAUAUGGUUAACCCCUGUCCAGCAAGGCGCUUUUGGAGCUCAGAGGCUGAGGCACUCGGCGGGGACAUCAGGAACUCGUGGGCAUGGCUGGCAGGUGUGCGCGCGUUUGAGCUAUAAAUUGAGAAAGAACACAGAGAGCUGAAAUGUAGACUCCUUCAAAUGAUCAUGGAGGAAUUCUCAAAAUUCAUUCUGAUAGGAUAGCCUUUCCUUACGUCUUCCCUUUUCCUCACAUGAAGGUGUUCCUUUGUAAGUCCAAGAGCACAUGUGUCUCUACCUUGUCCCUUUAUCACUCUGUCAUUAUAGAUUGCACAGUCUGGGGUUGUGUGGUUUCCCUUGUUUUUAGUCUCUAGCCAGAAGGAACUUGUCAUUCGAGUUUUUAAGAUUUAGUUUCCCCACUCCCUACCCUUGUGCUCCAGCUUCUCAUGUAAAGAGGGAAAUGGUUAUAUGGUCUUCAUUCUUUGUGCUUGGCUGAGUCAUAAAUUAUUGAAACAAGAUGGCUAUACUUGUUAUUUGGAGAAAACCUCUCUCUUACUCCAAAAAAUAAAUGUUUUUUAAAUUGUUAAAUGUUCCUUUUCUGGGGAAAAAACCCAAAACCUUUCAACAUAUUUUCUGUCCAAUUAAGAUUAAAGAAACCAUAUAUUUUGAGGUCCAGAGAAUACUUGGGCCCCAAAUCUGUGGUAUCUAUUCCUUUGCAAAAUCCAACAUAAUUGUUCUACAUUUGAUUUUCUAGCUUAAAAUAAACAAGAAAGAUGAACUUAAUAGUUUUUAUUCAUAGCAUUGUGUUAAACUUCCAUGUUUUAAAGAGAAAUAAAAUUGAGGCAGUAUAAUAUAAUGCCACAAUUAAAAUGAAAAACUUGCAUUUUAGAAUUCUGGCUAAGAAAAAACACUGUUCUAGAAGCUUUAUCUUGGCAACAAAUUAUGUGACCUUCAAUAAGUCAUUGAACCUUUCAGGGCUUCAUUUUAUUCUGACAAAUGAAAGGGAUGGACUAGAAAAUUGUCAAUGUCCUUUUCCAUUUUAAAAUUCUACAAUUCUAGGAUGCAUUAUCUUUAGAAACUACAUCUUUGAGAACAGAAAUCCCAUGAAAAAAACUCUUAAUGGUUAUCAGUAGUCUACUUUUCUGCCAUUUUAUGACGCAAACUCAACUGCAGAACUCUUUUUUGGCACAUUGUGAUGAGAAAAAUGGCUGUUUUUUUUACUCCAAACAUGUAUCAGUGAUACUUUGCCUAAGCUAUUUAGGGAAUAUUAAUGAGUACAGUACUACAUGGUGGUAGGUAGCAAAAAGAGGUAAUCUGACAGGUACCUAAUGCAAAAAGUAUGGCUCUGAACAUUAAUACAUUCAAGGAUGAUCUUCAGUUAUCUGUGGCGUCCUUGACAUGACAGAAAGAUUACCCAUAUUUUCAGUUACUUGUGAAAUAAUUACAUUUUGGAAGAAAUUUUGAGUUUGUGCUUAUAUCCAUUCUAUAUAAUAUGCCAGUUUAUAACAGCAUUUUACAGUGUUCAUCAUUUUGAUAAUUUUUUUUUUAACUUCACAUUUAAACUUUUUGUAUAUUAAAACACUGGAAAACAUUAAUUAUAUUCUGUAAUAAGGUUCUGCAUAAAUUUUACAAAUCUGCAUCACAGGUCACUCAUGUCCUAUGAAAUGGGGAUUAUACUUGGCCGACAUCAAUGUAGUAAAAACAUUUCUAAAUAAUUAUAGAUUACUUAGAAAAAAAUUAAUGUCGCAUAAUGCUAAGAAUCAUUACACUAAGACCUGUUUUCUUGAUUAAAAAUAAGGGGUUUGUAUGAAAGAGUGACGUAUUUUAUGUCAGAAGAAAGAGGAUAUAUUUUGGGAAACAGUUAAAUAAUGGAAAUAAAAAUGUUACUAAGUUAGAAUCACCUAAGACUCAUUGCUCUGGGUAUAUGGAACCAAAUCCAAACUUUCUGAGUUUGAAACUUAGCAUGACAUAAUUUGUUAGCUUUCAGAAAAUUUGUUUGCCUUUAAAAGGUUUAAGAUUAUCACUAUUCAAACUUCAAAAUCCCUUACAUGUAUCAUUUAAUUUAAAUUACUCAAAAAAUAAUGGGAAUUUCCCUUAAUAAAGUACUAAAGAAUAGUUGAAUUGGAAAAUUGUCUUUGUACAUUACAUGUUUUGCCUUUAUCAACCAUCAAAUCUUUGUUAAGCCUAGAAUGGCCUCUUCUAAGUUAGUUUUGCUCCUGUCUAUUGCAAAGUCAUAUAUACAGGGGGAAACAGAAAAAGUCAUUGACAUAACUUCCUAUAAACUCAAACAUACUAAGGAAGACAUAUUCAGAAAUAGUUAACAACUUUUUUGUUCUUAGAAAAACACUGUAAGAUCUUGUAGUCAUGGGAAAUUGCAGGUAAUACACAAUACUUAAUUACAUGUUUUGUUUUUUGAAACUGGUAUUAAACUAUAAUAAUUGUAACAUAUCUACUUUAGCAGCAAGUAAAUAUUAAUUGGUUGGGAACUUGGUUAUCUGAAUUAGAUAGCAGAAUAGUAUAGAAUACUGUUCUACUUACAGAUAUUAUAUAAUUUAUGAGUUGUUGCUAGUAAAUGAAAUUAUUUAAUUAAUUUAUAUACUAUAAUAUUAAGCAUAAAUAUACAUAUACAUAAAUAUAUAGCUAAUUGCAACAUUAUUUUAUGUUAAGACAUUUUAUACUUUGAUCAUGGUAGAGCUAUAAUUAACAGCUUAAAUAAAAAUAAGUUUCUCCACAA